CCUACGGGAGGCAGCAGUGGGGAAUCUUGGACAAUGGGCGCAAGCCUGAUCCAGCCAUGCCGCGUGAGUGAAGAAGGCCUUAGGGUUGUAAAGCUCUUUUGGCAGGGACGAUAAUGACGGUACCUGCAGAAUAAGCCCCGGCAAACUUCGUGCCAGCAGCCGCGGUAAUACGAAGGGGGCUAGCGUUGUUCGGAAUUACUGGGCGUAAAGCGCACGUAGGCGGGUGGUUAAGUCAGGGGUGAAAUCCCGGAGCUCAACUCCGGAACUGCCUUUGAUACUGGCCAUCUAGAGAUUGGGAGAGGUGAGUGGAAUUCCGAGUGUAGAGGUGAAAUUCGUAGAUAUUCGGAAGAACACCAGUGGCGAAGGCGGCUCACUGGCCCAAUACUGACGCUGAGGUGCGAAAGCGUGGGGAGCAAACAGGAUUAGAUACCCUUGUAGUC
rnacentral:rRNA from 1 species